UAAACCCAUCAACAAUCUCUCCUAUUACACACACCAAAAUAUGAAGUUGUCUGAUUACUCAAUGCAUUUGAAGGAUGUUCUGGUUGAGU